UCCCUGGUGGCCCAGCUGGUCAAGGCGUCCGACUGUUAUGAACAGAGCAAUCGGGAGAUCGACAGUUCGAUCCUGUCUCGGGGAG
rnacentral:tRNA from 2 species